AUGCCAUUAGGAGUUCUUGUGUCCCUGCGGUCAGUCGUGGGGCGCUGCGGCUGGCCCCAGCGAGAACUGCGGCCCCUCUGCUCCUGCUCUGCAAGUUUCUCUACCCGGAGGCUUGGGCUGUCGCUGAUGCACAGGUUGUCCCGUCUCCCAGGAGCCCAUGUGGACAAGGGAGAGUGCGCGGACUCCACAGGGGCCUCCAUGCCUGCCAUGAAUUCCUCCCACUUCCUUCUCGGGAUGAGGUAUCCAAAAAGGCCUUUGGCCCUUUCUGGGAAUGGAAGAAAGAGCAAAGUGAGGCAACGAGGGAGGAGACCCCCUGGAGAAAGACCGAGGAAGACUGCCCAUGUGCCGCGUUGGUGGACAGGAUGCUCCAGCAGGACCUGUCCCCCAGGAGCCCUGGAUUUGGGAAGCAUCACCCUGGGGGCCCAGGGUCACUCAGGAAUCCUGCCUCUGGGGAGGUUUGUCCUGAAAUGCACGCUUGUUUUCUGGGGCCUGGUUCCAAGACUUGCGUACACACGCGUGGUGGUGCAUCCCAGCGGCUGAGACAGCCGAGGAGGACUGGCGGACGGUUCCGUGACCUGCCGGGUGGAGCACGUGGCCUGGCCGGGGACAGCCCCGUGGUGCAGCAUCCUACCCUGCACCUGCUUGGACACUCACAACACCUGUCCCGUGUUUCCCUGGUGGAGGGGGGUGUUUCCAGGUCUUGACUCUUACCAGUAAAGCUGUUCUGAAUAUUCUUACACGAGUCUUUGGUGAGGGUGGAGGGUAUACGUUUUCAUUUGUUCCUGUUGCUGGGCCGGGCGAGCGCUUCCCUCCAGGAGAAGCUGCCAGAUAGAUGCUUGCCGGCCAGAGCAGUUACACUCACAUCCACAACUGGCCUCUGCUGUUGGGUCCCGGCCUGCGUGUGAGCUAUCGGCUGCCCCCAGUCCGUCCAUGCUGGGGCUGAGGCCCGAGGGGAUCUCCUGGCGUUGCCCAAAUGUAUUUGGUCACAUAAGAUCUUAUGAUUCCGGUGGAGGAAAUAUGCUGGCCUGGGAAAUCCUGCUGGCGGAGAAGCCGAGGCUGAGACGCUGCUGCCCGGGAUUCUGAUCUAGACUUGCCGGAAGUCCCAUGGGCAGGCUGAUCCCCACCAACCUGGGGAGCUCUUGGAGCAGCCAGUCCCCUUCUCCUGGGCAGGGGCAUCCAUUCCCCACCUUCUGGGACUGCUCCUGCUGGCCUCAGUGUGGGGGUGAUGGGCCUGUCUCCGUGCUGAGCCAGCAGCCAUACAGUCAGGCCCCAAAGUCGAGGGGAGAUCCUGGAGGAACCCAUACCCCCACGGAUGUGAAACUCUCUCAAGGCCAAAAGGCACCUUCGCUGACACUCAGGCUCCAUGAGCGAUAGCUGUGAGCAGCUCCAGACACCAAUGCUGCAGGCUAUCAGCUGUCAUGGACUUUAUGGCCUGUGUCCCCCCACCCCAGUGCCCCCUGUGGCGGCUGCUGGCUUACCUGCAUCCACCUGGCCUCACCUCACUUGCUGCAGAGCGUCUGCCAGGACUUCGAUGCCUCUCUAGGACUCUGGUGGGGGCGACCAGGUGGGAAUUCCUUGGAUCACUUUUGUUUCAAAGAGAAGGUGUGGAUGCGGGAUCCAGGAUGGACAACGAGUAGGUGCAAGUGCGGGAUCCAGGAUGGGCAACGAGAAGGUGCGGGUGCAGGAUCCAGGAUGGCAACUACUGGCUUUGGUGCUCGUGUGCUUAUGAGCUUCCUUCUCUAAGCCAGACAGAAUCAAGACUUGACCUUACUUGGGAGCUCCAAACAUGGACCCUGCCAGAAACAGGGAGCCGGUUACUUAUCGGGGACUCUCCCCACCCAGCCCCGGGCUCAUGGAAGACACUGUCCCUUCCCUCCCGUGGUCCACACUUCUUGCCAGAAGAACCCAAUUCUGCAUCUGUGUAGCAGGGAGAGAGCAUUCCAGCUCCCAGGAGGAAGCAUUUCCAUAUCCAUUUGGUCUGAACUAGUCACAGCAAUAACCUCUCCUUUCCUUUGCCACUGUUUUGGGGGGACCGGGAAUGGGACCCUUCAAGGCAUAACAAAAAAAAUAAAAAGAGAGAGAAAAGAAAAGAUCA
rnacentral:lncRNA from 1 species